GACGAACCGUACAAACGUUACUCGGAAUUACUGGGCUUAAAGGGUGCGUAGGCUGCGCGGAAAGUUGGGUGUGAAAGCCCUCGGCUCAACCGAGGAAUUGCAUCCAAAACUACCGUGCUCGAGGGAGACAGAGGUGAGUGGAACUCAAGGUGGAGCGGUGAAAUGCGUUGAUAUCUUGAGGAACACCGGUGGCGAAAGCGACUCACUGGGUCUUUUCUGACGCUGAGGCACGAAAGCUAAGGUAGCAAACGGG
rnacentral:rRNA from 1 species